AACCCAUGGCCAAUUCUGCCCUAUCCCCAUUCUCUACCCCUUUCCAUAUUUUUCUUCUCCCAUAUUAUUUUGAAGCAAAUCCCAGGCAUCACAUAAGAUCAAAAUUUUAACAUGUUUUUACCUCUACUUCAGGUUAUUGUUGAAAUGACCUGAAAUUUUAAGGAAGUAGCUGAAAAUAGCAUUAAGAUUGGAAAGAAAGGCAGACAGAUUAUGAGAGGCCUAUAAUGCCAGCCUUGUGGAGGAGCCCCAGAGUUGUUUCAGUAGACAGACAAAAUCUGGUCUGUGCUUUAGCAACUUUGUUUCAUGAAUGAAUAAUUAACCUAGUGAGAGAGAGAGUUUCAGAAAGUUGUAAUGAAAGGAAUGGUAAUGUGAAAGAGGCCCUGAAGCAGCAGAAUUUUUAUCACUGGAUGAUUAAUUAAAUGAGGGGAUGAGGGAGGCUUUGCUAACCUGAAUUUCAAGCCUGAAUGAGGUUGAUGAUGACAUUAACUAAGACAGCAGACAUGGAAAAGUAAUGUGUGGAACUUAGGGUUCUUGGAUUCCAAAGCAGUUGAAAGGGACUUUGUCUAGCUUAAGCAAGAAGGAAAUUUAUUAAAAUAUUAGUAGGGAGAGGAGGGACCCCUAGGUUGAAAGGGAAGACUGAAGAGCCAGGCUAAGAAGUGUCAGAGUGGCAGUCAGCCAGCCGGGGCAUUGCUGCUAGAGUGAGCGAAUGCCAGCUAUCUUUAGUGUUUAGGUUGUAUUGCUUAUCAUCCAUUCUCUAGGGAGGAAGCAUUGGAUCUCCUUCCUCCUAUCCCUUCAUUUUUACUCUUUUGAUUAGAGGCAAACAGGGACUUUAUUAAUGCUCUCUUCAAACUAUAUUGAGGGGAAAAGGUGAUUCUGCAGAAGGAAAUCAGGUUGCUAUUGCCGAAACAAAGUAGAAUGUUCAGCCAAAGAGUAACAGUUGUCCACUGUGUAACAAACCUGGCUCUGUACAUGUUGCAUGUGUGUUAUCUAUAAGGCAUGCAAGUAGAAAUGUAUAGCAGAUAGUUGGAAAUGUGGUUCUGAAGUAUAAGAAGAUAGAUUUAUAUAGUAUACUGGAUUGAUUUUCCAAGAGUGACUGGAUUCUUCUUCCCUAGAGAUUUUAAGAAAAAAAAAAAUAACCCUUUAUCUUGGUUUUGACUGAGUGGUUUAAAGAAAGUCAGCUCUAAAUCCAUAACUUACUAUUGGAUUGACUUUUGAAGAGCCUUUCCUGUGCUAUGGAUUCUUAAUUCAUUUUGAAGAUCCAACAGCAGCCGUGUAGACCACCAUCAAGAAAUGAACAUAAAAGUCUUUUGAUUGAAGCCUUAAGAUUUUUGCACUGGCUCUUCUUUCUGCCUGCAACCACUAGUCUGCUUUAUGUCUCUAAGAAUUUGCCUUUACUGGACAUUUCAUAUAAAUGGAAUCAUAUGGUAUGUGGCCUUUUGUGACUGACUUCUUUUACUCAGCUUAAUGUUAUCAAGGGUCAUCCAUGCUAAAGCAUGUGUCAGUACUUCAUUUCUUUUUAUUGCUGGAUAACAUUUCAUUGUAUAGAUUUGCCACAUCUUAUUUAUUCAUUCAUCAGGUGAUGGGCAUUUGGGUUUGCACUUUUUAGCUAUUUGAAUAAUACUGCUGUGACCAUUUGUGUAGAAAUUUUUGUGUGGACAUUUCUCUUGGGUACAUGGAAGUGGAAUUUCUGGGUUAUAUGGUAACUGUGUUUAACUGCUGAGGAACUGCCAAACUUUUCCAAAAUGACUGCCCCAUUUUACAUUCCCACCAGCAGUCUAUGAGUAUUCUAAUUUCUUCACAUCCUCAGCAACACUUGUUAUUGUCUCUCCUUUUGAGUUUAGCCAUCCUAGUGAGUAUGAAGGAAUAUCUUGUUUUUAUUUUCAUUUCAUUUUCCUACUAAUGAUGUUGAACAUUCUUUCAUGCGCUUUUUGGUUCAUUUGUUUCUUUGUUGGGGAAAUGUCUAUCAAGUCCUUUGCCCAUUUUUAAGUUGGAUAAUUGUCUUUUUAUUGUUGAGUUACAAGAGUUCUUAAUAGUCUAGAUGCGAGUUCCUUGUCAGAUAUAUAAUUUGCAAAUAUUCUCUCAUUCUGUGGGUUGUCUUUUAACUUUCUUAAUGGUAUCUUUUGAAAUGUAAAACUUAAAUUUUGAUGAAGUCCAGUUUAUCUAUUUUUUGUCACUUGUGCAGUCAUAUCUAAGAAAUCAUUGCCUUACCCAAGGUCACAAAGAUUUACUACUGUCUUUAGUAAAGACAGUUUUCUGUUACUAAACAGAAUACCACAGACUGGGUAAUUUCUAAAGAAAUUUACUUAGCUCAUGGUUCCGGAGGCUGAGAAGUCUAAGAACAUGGUGCCUGGCAUUUGGUUAGGGCCUUCUUGCUGUGUCAUAAUAUGGCAGAGGGCAUCACAUGGUGAGAGGGCAAGCAAGAACAAACCCACUCCCAUGAUAGUGACAUUAAUCCAGGUAUGAGGGCAAAGCUUUUAUUAAUUAAUCUGUUCAUGAAGGCAGAGGGACUAAGUUUCCAACAUGUGAUUUUUUAAGGGAUACAUUCAAACUAUAGCAACCCCUAUGUUUUCUUCUAAUAGUCUUAUAGUUGUAGCAUUACAUAGGUCUGUGAUCUGUUUUGAACUAUUUUUAUUUUAUUUUAUAAUUAUUAUUUUUUUGAGACUCCGCCUCC
rnacentral:lncRNA from 1 species